AUGGUGUAUAACCUACUUGAUGAGCAAUGUGUUCGGCAAGAAUUGCUGCAUAAUAAAUAUCUGAAAUCCAAAAUGUUACCCCAAGUAGAUGUUAAGCCUAUCACCUCACCAUAUUGGAGGGGCUUGAUGAAGGUCAAGUCUUCCUUUCUUUAGAAAGGUUGCUUUAAGAUUGAUGACACCCAAUUGACGAGUUUUUGGGAAGAUGUCUGGUUGGGUGACACUUCAUUAGCUCUACAAUACCCGACCAUGUAUAAUACUAUGUUUAGAAAAGAGGAUUCGGUGGCUUCUUUUCUUGGGGAUAGCCCUUUGAGUAUCCAAUUUCGCAGGGCAUUACUGGGUUACAAAUGUACUAAGUGUGUCCACUCGGUUUCUAGGUUGAUGUCAAUUAAUCUAACUCAGGUACCAAAUUCAUUCCAGUAA
rnacentral:rRNA from 1 species